rnacentral:rRNA from 1 species
AGGAGGCAGCAGUGGGGAAUAUUGGUCAAUGGACGGAAGUCUGAACCAGCCAUCCCGCGUGCAGGAAGAAGGCGCUAUGCGUUGUAAACUGCUUUUCCGAGGGAAGAAAACCCCCGACGUGUCUGGGCUUGUCGGUACGUUGGGAAUAAGCAUCGGCUAACUCCGUGCCAGCAGCCGCGGUAAUACGGAGGAUGCUAGCGUUAUCCGGAUUCAUUGGGUUUAAAGGGUGCGUAGGCGGACCGAUAAGUCAGUGGUGAAAACCUGCAGCUUAGCUGUAGAACUGCCAUUGAUACUGUUGGACUUGAGUGUGGUCAAGGUAGGCGGAAUGUGUAAUGUAGCGGUGAAAUGCUUAGAUAUUACACAGAACACCGAUUGCGAAGGCAGCUUGCUGGGCCAUUACCGACGCUGAUGCACGAAAGCGUGGGGAGCAAACAGGAUUAGAUACCCCUGUA